rnacentral:rRNA from 1 species
CAGCAGCCACGGUAAUACGUAGGGUGCAAGCGUUAAUCGGAAUUACUGGGCGUAAAGCGUGCGCAGGCGGUUAUAUAAGACAGAUGUGAAAUCCCCGGGCUCAACCUGGGAACUGCAUUUGUGACUGUAUAGCUAGAGUACGGCAGAGGGGAAUGGAAUUCCGCGUGUAGCAGUGAAAUGCGUAGAUAUGCGGAGGAACACCGAUGGCGAAGGCAAUCCCCUGGGCCUGUACUGACGCUCAUGCACGAAAGCGUGGGGAGCAAACAGGAUUAGAUACCCGCGUAGUCCCUGUCUCUUAUAC